ncrna:unclassified sequences FuFi-1 RNA
UUUGUCAGCGAUUAGGCAUGUUGCAGAACCAAGACUGCGAAAGUGACAAGGUGUUUCAAGAAGCAUUUGGUCUCGUCAGAUGCGGCGUCAGCCUGCAAAGUACAUAGGGUAAACAAAUUUGGUAAAGAGCUGUUAGGGACGAGACCCCUAGCAGUUUCUU